CCUACGGGGGGCUGCAGUGGGGAAUAUUGGACAAUUGGCGCAAGCCUGAUCCAGCAAUACCGCGUGUGUGAAGAAGGCCUGAGGGUUGUAAAGCACUUUUAAUCGGGAGGAAUAGCGGUCGGUUAAUACCCGGUCGUCUGACAUUACCGAUAGAAAAAGCACCGGCUAACUCCGUGCCAGCAGCCGCGGUAAUACGGAGGGGGAAAGCGUUAAUUGGAAUUACUGGGGGCGGUUGGUGCGGAGGCGUGUGAAAGCCCCGGGCUUAACCUGGGAACGGCAUUUGAAACUGAUCGACUAGAGUUGGGUAGAGGGGAGUGGAAUUUCAGGUGUAGCGGUGAAAUGCGUAGAUAUCUGAAGGAACACCAGUGGCGAAGGCGGCUCCCUGGACCCAAACUGACGCUGAGGCACGAAAGCGUGGGUAGCAAACAGGAUUAGAUACCCCGGUAGUC
rnacentral:rRNA from 1 species